CCUACGGGAGGCAGCAGUGGGGAAUAUUGCACAAUGGGCGAAAGCCUGAUGCAGCAACGCCGCGUGAGCGAUGAAGGCCUUCGGGUCGUAAAGCUCUGUCCUCAAGGAAGAUAAUGACGGUACCUGAGGAGGAAGCCCCGGCUAACUACGUGCCAGCAGCCGCGGUAAUACGUAGGGGGCUAGCGUUAUCCGGAAUUAUUGGGUUAAAAGGGUGCGUAGGCGGACCGGAAAGUCAGCGGUAAAAGCCGGGGGCUCAACCCCGGCGAGCCGUUGAAACUGUCGGACUAGAGACGGCGAGAGGUACGUGGAAUGCGCGGUGUAGCGGUGAAAUGCGUAGAUAUCGGGCAGAACUCCAAUGGCGAAGGCGGCGUACCGGCGCCGGACUGACGCUGAGGCACGAAAGCGUGGGUAUCGAACAGGAUUAGAUACCCGAGUAGUC
rnacentral:rRNA from 1 species